CUACGGGUGGCAGCAGUGAGGAAUAUUGCACAAUGGGGGGAACCCUGAUGCAGCAACGCCGCGUGGAGGAUGACGCAUUUCGGUGUGUAGACUCCUUUUAUAUGUCAAGAAAAUGACGGUAGCAUAUGAAUAAGCACCCGCUAACUCCGUGCCAGCAGCCGCGGUAAUACGGAGGGUGCAAGCGUUACUCGGAAUCACUGGGCGUAAAGGACGCGUAGGCGGGUUGGAAAGUCAGGUGUGAAAUCCUACAGCUUAACUGUAGAACUGCACUUGAAACUUCUAAUCUAGAGUAUGGGAGGGGGAGAUGGAAUUAGUGGUGUAGGGGUAAAAUCCGUAGAUAUCACUAGGAAUACCUAAAGCGAAGGCGAUCUCCUGGAACAUUACUGACGCUAAGGCGUGAAAGCGUGGGGAGCAAACAGGAUUAGAUACCCCAGUAGUC
rnacentral:rRNA from 1 species